CGUGCUUUGUUGGGAUCCAAGAGACUCCAUUCAAUAAACCAUCGUGUCUAUCUGAGAUGGGUUUUGUGUAGUUUGUGGGGUGGCCAGCUGGGCCCUCUGUGAGACGCUAAGGAUUUUAAAAUUUUAUUAUUAUUAUUAUUAUUAUUAUUAUUACCUGUGAAGUUCUUUUUCUUGGUCUGGUCUUGUUUCUGGUACCUUUUGGUGACUCAAGUGAAGGCAGUUGGACGCAGUAAUGUUCUGGGGGCAGGGGACAGAGGAUCUCCACAUUUCCUCUUGCCUAGGCGGUUGGAGUACAAUCCAUCCCUUAGGACUCGGAGACUCUUCUCGGACAGCUCAAAUGCACAGUGUUAUCUUUGAAACUUGGUUUUGUUUUCUGUCUUCCACUUUAGUUUUGUUUGUUUGUUUUGGUGCCUCGCUCCUCUGUCUUUAACUCCUUCACUAUGGGACACCUGGAUGGAUCCCUUUGGUGGGAUAUCUGGGUCCCUUCCCUCUUGUCCCCAACUCUAUUGGUUGUCCUUGGUGCGCUGGUCUGUCCGCAUCUGUCAGUUUAUGUCUGUCGUUUAGUUUAGUGGCUGGAUUGUUGCUCUGUAUUUCAUAUUCAAAGGAAAAAUGAACAAACCUUUGUCUGCUGCAUGUUUGCUGCUGAAUGUUUGCCUGUCUGCUGGAUGUUUGUCUGUCUGCUGGAUGUUUGUCUGCUGGAUGUUUACCCCUUGACUUUACUUUAACUCAUUUCAAGGAUUUUUUAGGUGGGAAUAAACAGUUGAAUUGGGACGUCAAAAAACUGAUAAACUGUUGCUGCCCUUGGAGUCCAGCACUGCUGGGGAAGCCCUGCCAAGGGGGCUGCUUGAUCUGCACAAGCCUCUCUUAAAGGACCACCAGCAGCUUCUCAGCUACUCUGGUAAGGAAGGGCUAGUUCUGCUACAAAAUCUCUGUGCCCAUGAGAACUGCAUUCGGCAGGUGGCAGCAAGAUGCUCCUCUCUUGACAUUACAGCUAGAAAAAACAUAGACUCCAAAAUCCUAACAGUGACUCCCCCAAGGUCUCCAAGAGUAUAUGGACACAAUGAUAUAAGACAGUACCGGGAUCGUGGUAUGACGACCACUGAACAAAACUGCUUAAUACUUCACACACUGCCACAGCCCUGCCUGAACUGUGGACAGAGGACAACUGGAGAAUUGACUGCCAUGUUGCUUAUGACAAGGAGACUGAACAGAGACCGUGAGUGAACAGGCCUCACCUAAGGGACUGGUUUUAUGAGAGUAAGGAGGAGACAGCAGAGGAGGUGGCUGUGAAGGGUGAGAGUGUGAAGAGCUCUUUAUUGAACUUGUCCAGAGAGGAGAGUUGGCACAGGGCAGAGAAGACCUCUGAGGAGCAGAGGGCUUGAGAAGACCCGAGGGUUAUCAGACGGACAGGAAGAGGGCGUGGCAAGCAUGUGGUUUUGUCUGGGGCAAGUGUCUGACAGUGAGUGAUGGGCACAGAGAUGCUGAGAAGUUGCCUCAAGAGAAAGGGAGGGGGUGAUAGCUGGGCAGAGGACAGCAUUGUGUGGGGCUGGGCAGAACAGAGUAGGGAACAGAACUCAGGGGUGCAGAAGGGAGAUAAUGUGGUGGGAUCUACAGAAUCCUAGCCCCAGGAACGGGCUUGGAGAGCUAGAGGUAUGAGCUGGUAGAUCACAGAGGAUCAAAGAAGCAGGGCUCCGAGUUAGCAUUGGGAGUGGGAAUGACAGGCACCAUGUGCCCUGGGUACUGAGAAGAUGGGCAAGUGGCUCCCAUUCUCUGUCUUCCUGUCUGGUUCAUUUUUGUGCUCACCUAACAAAACUGGCACGUGCAGCCCUGGUUAGUACUAUUGCUGCUGUGUGAAUCUUUCACAGUGUGUUCACCCACCAUAUGCAAUACUGGGCUUCCAAAUAUUGGAGCAGUUUUUGUUUUUGUUUUUGUUUUUUGUCUGCAAAACCUCCCCAGGUUUUCUUGCCUCCAACAGUUUUGGUGAACUGACUUCUAUGCAAGUCUGGGCGCAUGUGUAUGCUUAGGGCUUGUACCUGGGUGUGGGAUCUCAGAGCCACACAGAGCACACUGCACACAGCUUAGGCAGGAGGGCAUGGCUUGAGCUCACGUGAUCUGUUGUCACCAUGCUCAGUGCUGUCCAGCUGUGAGUGGCUGCUGACCUAAUGAGUGUGAGAUUAUCGUACAUGCAGUGACCGAUGUGACCUCCUACCUGUCUGGCACAGUUGUCAGUGCUGAUGCUCCAGCGAGCAGCAAGCUGUACAUCGCUUUACCCCUGCGGCUGGUGGGAGUGGCUGAAGAAGUGCAUUGCUGAGUGAGGCGCAGAACAAGCUCCACCGUCAGUAGAAGUGCUGUGCUCUUCUUUUGGUGGGAGGAUGGUGGGUAAUACUUUUAUUUUGUUUAUCUGCAUCUUUUAAUGUUUCUCCGAUAAACAUUUAAUGUCUGUAAUUUGAUAAACCAUGCUAGGUUAUUUUCAUUAUUUAAAAUGAGAUAUAAAAUAAAU
rnacentral:sRNA from 1 species